rnacentral:rRNA from 1 species
GACGAACGCUGGCGGCGUGCUUAACACAUGCAAGUCGAACGGAAAGGCCCUGCUUUUGUGGGUUGCUCGAGUGGCUAACGGGUGAGUAACACGUGAGUAACCUUCCCUUGACUUUGGGAUAACUUCAGGAAACUGGGGCUAAUACCGGAUCGUAGCUCCUGCUGCAUGGUGGGGGUUGUAAAGUUUCGGCGGUUGGGGAUGGACUCGCGGCUUAUGAGCUUGUUUGUGGGGUAGUGGCUUACCAAGGGUUUGACGGGUAGCCGGCCUGGGAGGGUGGACGGCCACAAUGGGACUGAGAGACGGCCCAGACGCCUACGGGAGGCAGCAGGGGGGAAUAUUGCACAAUGGGGGGAAGCCUGAUGCAGAAACGUCGGGGGCGGGAUGAAGGCCUUUGGGGUGUAAAACGCUUUCGGCUGUGACGAAGCGUGAAUGACGGUAAUGGGUAAAGAAGCACCGGCUAACUACGUG